CAGUUGACGUUUUAAGUUAUUACUAUUUGAUUGGUGAUUGACCAAUGAGCGAGCGUCAUCACGCGCUGUGUGUGUGUGUGGUUGGACGCGCCUGCGUAACGAGAAGAGAGCUGAGCAUAGAGGAGAGAAGACGCGAGUCGAUCUCUGCGAUCAAAACUAGAAGUAUAUAAUUGAAGAAAAGUAGAAAACCUUUAUUUGAUAAAUUUAAUACCAAGCAGCGUAUGGAGAAGCCGAGUGAAUGUUGUUGAGUCACAUUUCACUCCAGGCUUAUAGUGAAUCGUGUGGGUAUUCAUCGUUCACCAACGCCAUUGCUGGCCGACGCGUGCUUGGGUGAAAGCAAAAGACGCUAAAUAUAGAGUUCACCGGCGCCAUUAUUGGUCACAUGCGCCUGUGUGAGGAAGACAGAUAGGAUUGUUCUAGAGGUAAAUUAGUGUGAUAUAUGAUGUCUUGAAACACAUAUUUGUGUGUUAAUUGUUUAUUUUGAUUGUUUCGAUCUUUGAUGUGAAAUUAUUUCUGAAAUCACUAAAUGAAUGGUCUGGUCUGUGAUCAGGCCAGGUUUUUUUUGUCCCUUUCUUUUUUUUUUUUUUUUUUUUUCUUGUAUUUCUAUUUUUUUUUUCCUUGGUUCUGGAUUGUGAUCUUCUGCGAUAUCCUGUGAAAUUCACGUUUGAUGGCGAGCCACCCGAAUCUGCUACAGAGAGGAAAAGACUACAAUUCAUAAAGAAGGGGACCAUAUCCUUUCUUUCAUUCUCCAGUCUUGCUUUAAGUAAGACAAUUCCUAUUAGAGACUAUUGAAUACUUUUUUUUUUUGAGAUUGACAAAUACAAGGAUUGACAAGAAACUGAUCCAUGCUUUGAAUAGCAUUGAACACUCUUGAUGGUGUAUGGUUACCCAUAGCCAUAAGUUGAUUGAAAUUGAUAUGUGAUAUAUUUUGAGAAAGGUGUUUUAAAAGAGAAAAAAAAGACACCACUCCUUUAUUGAGUAUUUUUGUUUAUUUUAUUUUAUUUCUUUUUUUGACAUUUAAUUUACCAGUCUGUACAAUACUUUUCUGUUUUCUGGGGUAAAAGAAGAGUGCACUCUCGAGGGGAUUUUCAUGCUUGAGAUUUGUAUCAUUGCCUGAUAUUGUAUUUAACCUGAUUAUAAUUCUCACUGGAAAUCUAAUUACAUACCAGUUUGCAU